ACUUUUGUGCAAUGACAGUAUUGUGACCAAUGAGGCUUGUCUGAAGUGCAAUUAUUGCUGACUGAAAAGCCAGUAGCUUCCCCAUACACCAGUAGUGAAUAUGUGGAGAAAGAAACUGGGAAAACAAUACUAUU